rnacentral:rRNA from 1 species
CCGUAACUAUAACGGUCCUAAGGUAGCGAAAUUCCUUGUCGGGCAAGUUCCGACCUGCACGAAUGGCAUAAUGAUGGCCACACUGUCUCCUCCUGAGACUCAGUGAAGUUGAAAUGUUUGUGAUGAUGCAAUCUCCCCGCGGCUAGACGGAAAGACCCCAUGAACCUUUACUGCAGCUUUGCAUUGGACUUUGAACCGAUCUGUGUAGGAUAGGUGGGAGGCAGUGAAGCUAGGACGCCAGUCUUAGCGGAGCCAACCUUGAAAUACCACCCUGAUUUGUUUGAGGUUCUAACCUAGGAGCGUAAUCCGCUUCGGGGACCGUGCAUGGUAGGCAGUUUGACUGGGGCGGUCUCCUCCUAAAGGGUAACGGAGGAGUGCGAAGGUACGCUAGGUACGGUCGGAAAUCGUGCUGAUAGUGCAAUGGCAAAAGCGUGCUUGACUGCGAGACCGACAAGUCGAGCAGAUACGAAAGUAGGUCAUAGUGAUCCGGUGGCUCUGCAUGGAAGGGCCAUCGCUCAACGGAUAAAAGGUACUCUGGGGAUAACAGGCUGAUACCGCCCAAGAGUUCAUAUCGACGGCGGUGUUUGGCACCUCGAUGUCGGCUCAUCUCAUCCUGGGGCUGUAGCCGGUCCCAAGGGUAUGGCUGUUCGCCAUUUAAAGAGGUACGUGAGCUGGGUUUAAAACGUCGUGAGACAGUUUUGUCCCUAUCUGCCGUGGGCGUUGGAAGAUUGACGGGGGCUGCUCCUAGUACGAGAGGACCGGAGUGGACUCACCUCUGGUGUACCGGUUGUCACGCCAGUGGCAUCGCCGGGUAGCUAUGUGGGGAAAGGAUAACCGCUGAAAGCAUCUAAGCGGGAAACCUGCCUGAAGAUAAGUCUUCCUGGAGGCUUUGACCUCCCUGAAGAGUCGUUCGAGACCAGGACGUUGAUAGGUUGGAUGUGCAAGCGCUGUGAGGCGUUGAGCUGACCAAUACUAAUUGCUCGUGAAGCUUGAUCCU